CGUGGCUAACCUGCCCUUGGGACCAGAAUACCCCCGGGAAACUGGGGCUAAUUCUCGAUAGGUGAAGAACUCUGGAAUGAGUCUUCGCUUAAAAGAGGCUGGGGUUAUGCUCUCCAGUUUCGCCCAAGGAUGGGGCCGCGACCGAUCAGGUUGUUGGUGAGGUAAUGGCUCACCAAGCCUUUUACCGGUGCGGGCCGUGAGAGCGGGAGCCCGGAGAUGGGCACUGAGACAAGGGCCCAGGCCCUACGGGGCGCAGCAGUCGCGAAAACUUUGCAAUAAGCGAAAGCUUGACAGGGCUAUCCCGAGUGCCAUCCGCUGAGGAAGGCUUUUACCCAGUCUAGAACGCUGGGGGAAUAAGGAGAGGGCAAGUCUGGUGUCAGCCGCCGCGGUAAUACCAGCUCUCCGAGUGGUGUGGAUGUUUAUUGGGCCUAAAGCAUCCGUAGCUGGCUAGGUUAGUCCCCUGUUAAAUCCACCGAAUUAAUCGUUGGAUUGCGGGGGAUACUGCUUGGCUAGGGGACGAGAGAGGCAGACGGUAUUUCCGGGGUAGGGGUGAAAUCCUAUAAUCCCGGGAAGACCACCAGUGGCGAAGGCUGUCUGCUAGAACGCGCCCGACGGUGAGGGAUGAAAGCUGGGGGAGCGAACCGGAUUAGAUACCCGGGUAGUCCCAGCUGU
rnacentral:rRNA from 1 species